AGUCCGUGACGUCACUUCCUCCUUCACCAGCCCAUUCCUGGACGCCAUGGAAGAAGUGUUGGACCUACGAGUGAGCUAGCCUAGCCGACCGCUAUUCACGUCAUUUCUUUGCUGUGGGCAGGUGGACUGAUGUCUGCUGAAUGUUUUCAUCAAACUCAAUAACUUCCAUUCUAUACAGCAUCAUGGAAGAGUUGAUGCCCAUCUCCUGCGCUCAUUGACUGAGGUACAGGAUGCACCCUUGACAGGCGGAGACCCAAGGUCAGUGGAGGUCUGACGGGACGUUGAUGAAUGGAUGUGACGGGUGUCAUCCUGGAUAAACAGCGCCCGGGCCCACAUGCUGCUACAUCCUGAAAAAUACGUCUGUUCCACCAGCAGCCCAGGGAAAUAGUUUGGAGGUUUCACACAUCCUUUCGAUAGCUCACUCUGUCUUUCUCUCUGCGUGGAGCGUACAUCAUUCCCCGUGUACGAAAAGAAAAUAAAGAAAAUAACACAUACCCAUCUUAUAGUCCGAACCACACAAACACACAUGCGUUACGCUGACACCGAAGGGUAAUAUCUGAUACAUGACACAGAGAGCACACUCCAUUUCCCAGUAAAGGUCACUGUUUUUUUGACAAACUGUAUCCGCUAACAUUCGUGCCUUCCAUGCACUGUUACGGCCAAAUAAAUGCGUCUGUCUCUGCCGGCUAAUCUCCGA